rnacentral:rRNA from 1 species
UAAUUUGCGGCAUGGGCGCAGCCUGAUCCAGCCAUCGCCGCGUGCGAUGAUGAAGGCCUUCGGGUUGUAAAGCUCUUUUGGCCGGGAAGAUACUGACGGUACCGGUCCAGUAAGCCCCGGCUAGCUUCGUGCCAUCAGCCGCGGUAAUACUAUAUGC